GUUUAGCCCUGAUGGUCCCGAGACUUCGGGAGGUGUUCUUUUUAUGGCUUUUUAGAUAUAAAAAGAUAUAGGCGAGAGCGGGAGUGAAG
rnacentral:sRNA from 2 species